rnacentral:rRNA from 1 species
UACGUAGGGGGCAAGCGUUGUCCGGAUUUAUUGGGCGUAAAGAGCGUGUAGGCGGCCUGAAAGGUCAGCUGUGAAAACUCGAGGCUCAACCUCGAGACGUCGGUUGAAAUCAUCUGGCUAGAGUCCGGAAGAGGAGUGUGGAAUUCCCGGUGUAGCGGUGAAAUGCGCAGAUAUCAGGAGGAACACCGGUGGCGAAGGCGGUUCUCUAGUACGGUACUGACGCUGAGACGCGAAAGCGUGGGGAGCGAACAGG